UACGUAGGGUGCGAGCGUUAAUCGGAAUUACUGGGCGUAAAGCGUGCGCAGGCGGUUCGUUAAGUUCGUUGUGAAAGCCCCGGGCUCAACCUGGGAACUGCAAUGGAAACUGGCGAACUGGAGUGUGGCAGAGGGGGGUGGAAUUCCGCGUGUAGCAGUGAAAUGCGUAGAGAUGCGGAGGAACACCGAUGGCGAAGGCAGCCCCCCUGGGCUAACACUGACGCUCAGGCACGAAAGCGUGGGGAGCAAACAGG
rnacentral:rRNA from 1 species